UACGUAGGGAGCAAGCGUUGUCCGGAAUCAUUGGGCGUAAAGCGCGCGUAGGCGGCCUCAUAAGUCCGUUGUGAAAGUCAAAGGCUCAACCUUUGAAAGCCGAUGGAUACUGUGAGGCUAGAGUCCGGAAGAGGCGAGUGGAAUUCCUGGUGUAGCGGUGGAAUGCGCAGAUAUCAGGAGGAACACCAAUAGCGAAGGCAGCUCGCUGGGACGGUACUGACGCUAAGGCGCGAAAGCGUGGGGAGCGAACAGG
rnacentral:rRNA from 3 species